rnacentral:rRNA from 1 species
GUCCACGCCGUAAACGAUGAGUGCUAGGUGCUGCGGGUAUUGAUCCCUGCGGUGCCGUAGCUAACGCGUUAAGCACUCCGCCUGGGGAGUACGGCCGCAAGGCUAAAACUCAAAGGAAUUGACGGGGGCCCCGCACAAGCGGUGGAGCAUGUGGUUCAAUUCGACGCAACGCGCAGAACCUUACCUGGGUUAAAUCCACCAGAAGCUGCCAGAGAUGGCGGGGUGCCCUUCGGGGAACUGGUGAGAAGGUGCUGCAUGGCUGUCGU